UAUCUCUGAAUCUGCGAACGGNNCCGCAAACCAGUUGUAAACUAAGGCAAAGAAUUCCUGCUUGAUCCGGUGAAAGCCGGGGAAGGUGGGUGAUAGGGAUAUCCGUGGUAAUCCUAAGGCUAAUACCUGUCUGUGCACCCCGGCCUUCCCUCGUGUGAGGCUGGGGAUUGUGCGAGCAGAGCGGUAGGAAUAACCGGGAAUGGGCGCACGGUCGAACCCAGAUAAGAGGAGCCAGGUAGGACGUUCCGAGGGGUGAAACAUACCUUGCCUUGAGGGACUGACUGGUCCGAAGGGUCUUGCAUUGUGCUUCUGACCUAUCAACUGUAUACAGCUGUGUAAGGGACGUGCUGUGGUUACAACGGGUACAGAGGAUUAGGGUUUGAUCCUGGAGAGUGGGCCUGAGAGAUU
rnacentral:rRNA from 1 species